AUAUAUAUAGUAUAAAUAAUUAUAUUUAAUUUCCAAUUAAAAGAUUUAAUUAAAUAAUAUAUAUA
rnacentral:tRNA from 1 species